CAACCUUGCAGUCCAGGUAUAAAUCCCACUUGGUCAUGAAUACCUACCAUCCAUGAAACGUGUCUUAAAAGAUGGAGGAAAAUAAAGGCUGGAUGCUGCCCUCAAGGAAACUAUGAUAAGGCUCAAUGCAGGGAAGUUGGAAAACAUUUCAACACAAAGAGGGAGAGCUUAC